UACGUAGGGUGCGAGCGUUAAUCGGAAUUACUGGGCGUAAAGCGUGCGCAGGCGGUGAUGUAAGGCAGGUGUGAAAUCCCCGGGCUUAACCUGGGAACUGCAUUUGUGACUGCAUCGCUGGAGUGCGGAAGAGGGGGAUGGAAUUCCGCGUGUAGCAGUGAAAUGCGUAGAUAUGCGGAGGAACACCGAUGGCGAAGGCAAUCCCCUGGGCCUGCACUGACGCUCAUGCACGAAAGCGUGGGGAGCAAACAGG
rnacentral:rRNA from 1 species